rnacentral:rRNA from 1 species
AUUUUCCGGUUGAUCCUGCCGGACCCCACUGCUAUCGGGAUAGGACUAAGACAUGCUAGUCGUGUGCUUCGGCCAAAACGAAGCACGGCAUACAGCUCAGUAACACGUGGCUAAUCUGCCCUUGGGAUGAGAACAACCCCGGGAAACUGGGGCUAACUCUCAAUAGGCGAAGAACUCUGGAAUGAGUCCUCACUUAAACAGCUUCACGUUAUGCUCGUGAAGCCGCCCAAGGAUGAGGCCGCGACCGAUCAGGUUGUUGGUGAGGUAAUGGCUCACCAAGCCUUUUACCGGUGCGGGCCGUGAGAGCGGGAGCCCGGAGAUGGGCACUGAGUCAAGGGCCCAGGCCCUACGGGGCGCAGCAGUCGCGAAAACUUUGCAAUAAGCGAAAGCUUGACAGGGCUAUCCCGAGUGCCAUCCGCUGAGGAAGGCUUUUACCCAGUCUAGAACGCUGGGGGAAUAAGGAGAGGGCAAGUCUGGUGUCAGCCGCCGCGGUAAUACCAGCUCUUCGAGUGGUGUGGAUGUUUAUUGGGCCUAAAGCAUCCGUAGCUGGCUAAGUUAGUCCCUUGUUAAAUCCACCGAAUUAAUCGUUGGAUUGCGGGGGAUACUGCUUGGCUAGGGGACGAGAGAGGCAGACGGUAUUUUCGGGGUAGGGGUGAAACCCUAUAAUCCCGGGAAGACCACCAGUGGCGAAGGCUGUCUGCUAGAACGCGCCCGACGGUGAGGGAUGAAAGCUGGGGGAGCGAACCGGAUUAGAUACCCGGGUAGUCCCAGCUGUAAACGAUGCAGGCUAGGUGUUUGGACGGCCACGUGCCGUUCUAGUGCCGCAGGGAAGCUGUUAAGCCUGCCGCCUGGGGAGUACGAUCGCAAGAUUGAAACUUAAAGGAAUUGGCGGGAAU